UUAAUAUGUGUGUGUAUGAGAGAGAGAGAGAAAGAGAGAAGCUGGAGAAUGGAGUUUGUGUUAUCUAUUAAAUUUAUGAAAUAAUUAUUAUUCUUCGAUAGAAUAAGCUACCAGAGAGUAGUGCAGCAAGACUCGAGCUCAAAAUCUUCUGUUCUAAUAUCAUGUUAAAUUUUAUAUAACAAUUAUUAUUUUCUAACAAUUUAAACUACUACUAGAGAACGAUAUUUCUAAUAAUCAUAUUUAAUAUUGUAAUUGGGUUAAAUUACACCCCCUAUAUCAUUCUUAACAUUUUAUGUAAAUUUAUCUUAGUUCCCAAACUUUUAUAUUCAGUACUUUAGAUCCCAUACUCUUGAAAACGUUUAAACUUAGUCCCUAGUUUUUUUUUAGGAAAAACUUCAAAAACCCCCCCUGUGGUUUCCAACUUUCUCACUCUAGUAUCCUGUGGUUUAAAGUGUAUCAAUUUGCCCCCCUGUGGUUUUAUUUUUAUCUUUUCUAUAGCUUUUCUCUUAAUAUUUCGUUAAAUUAUAUACAAAAAAACAUCAGAUAUCCAUCUAGAUUUACCGAAUAUUUACUUUAGUACCCUUUAAUUUUAAUUUUGUCACUGAUUUAAGAAAAAAAAACAAUAAAAUUGGUAAAAAAAAAAAGAGAAAAACAAAACCACAGGGAGGCAAAUUGAUACACUUUAAACCACAUGGUACUAAAAUGAGAAAAUGCGAAACCACAGGGGGGU
rnacentral:lncRNA from 1 species